rnacentral:rRNA from 1 species
GACGGGGGAUGCAAGUGUUAUCCGGAAUCACUGGGCGUAAAGCGUCUGCAGGUGGUUUCCUAAGUCCACUGUUAAAACCUUGAGGCUCAACCUCAAAUCUGCAUUGGAAAACUAGGAGACUUGAGUAUAGUAGGGUAGAGGGAAUUUCCAGUGGAGCGGUGAAAUGCGUAGAUAUUGGAAAGAACACCGAUGGCGAAGGCACUCUACUGGGCUAUUUACUGACACUCAGAGAACGAAAGCUAGGGGAGCAAAAUGGG